GCAUGGAUAGCUCAGUUGGCAGAGCGUGAGACUCUUAAUGCCAGGGCCGUGGGUUCGAGCCCCACGUUGGGUA